rnacentral:rRNA from 1 species
GCAUGAUGCAGCGACGCCGCGUGGCGAUGACGACGAUCGUGUAGUAAUCCUCUUCUGUAGGAAGAGAGAAAGUGUGGUAGCUGCUGCAGAGCACCGCUAAUUACUCCAGCAGCCGCGUAAUACGUAGCGCGCACAAUCGUCAGGAAUUAUUGUUGGUAGAGAGCUCGUCGGCGGGUGGCUCGUGUCUUCUGUGAAAGUACGGGGCUCAACCUCGUAUUUCCGGUGGGUUCGGGCAGCAUAGAGUGAUGUAGGAGAGACUAGAGUACCUGGUGUAGUGGUGAUAUGCGCAGAUAUCAUGAGGAACACCGAUGGUGAAGACAGCUCUUUUGUCAUCUACUGACGCUGAGGAGGAAAAGCAUGGGGAGCAAACAACAUUAGAUACCCCCGUAGUCCAUCCCGUAAACGUUGGGCGCCAGAUGUGGGGGACAUUCCACGUUUUUCGCGUCGUAGUUAACGCAUUAAGUACCCCCCCUGGGGAGUACGGCCGCAAGGCUAAAACUCAAAAAAAUUGACGGGGGCCCGCACAACCGGCGGAGCAUGCGGAUUAAUUCGAUGCAACGCGAAGAACCUUACCAAGGCUUGACAUGGGCCGCAUCGCCGCAGAAAUGUGGUUUCCCCUUUGGGGCCGGUUCACAGGUGGUGCAUGGUUGUCGUCAGCUCGUGUCGUGAGAUGUUGGGUUAAGUCCCGCAACGAGCGCAACCCUCGUUCCAUGUUGCCAGCACGUAGUGGUGGGGACUCAUGGGAGACUGCCGGGGUCAACUCGGAGGAAGGUGGGGACGACGUCAAAUCAUCAUGCCCCUUAUGUCUUGGGCUUCACGCAUGCUACAAUGGCCGGUACAAUGGGUUGCGAUACUGUGAGGUGGAGCUAAUCCCAAAAAGCCGGUCUCAGUUCGGAUUGGGGUCUGCAACUCGACCCCAUGAAGUCGGAGUCGCUAGUAAUCGCAGAUCA